AGUGAACGCUGGCGGUAGGCCUAACAAAUGCAAGUCCAACGGCAGCACAGGAGAGCUUGCUCUCUGGGUGGCGAGUGUCGGACGGGUGAGGCAUACAUCUGAAUCUACUCUCUCGUGGGGGAUAACGGAGGGACACUUAGGCUAAUACCGCAUACGCUCUACGGGUGAUAGCAGGGGACCCUCGGGCCGUGCGCGAUUGGAUGAGUCGAUGUCGGAUUAGCUAGUUGGCGGGGUAAAGGUCCACCAAGGCGACGAUCCGUAGCUGGUCUGAGAGGAUCAUCAGCCACACUGGAACUGAGACACGGUCCAGACUCCUACGGGAGGCAGAAGUGGGGAAUAUUGGACAAUGGGCGCAAGCCUGAUCCAGCCAUACCGCGUGGGUGAAGAAGGCCUUCGGGUUGUAAAGCCCUUUUGUUGGGAAAGAAAUCCAGCCGGCUAAUACCCGGUUGGGAUGACGGUACCCAAAGAAUAAGCACCGGCUAACUUCGUGCCAGCCGCCGCCGUAA
rnacentral:rRNA from 1 species